UACGGGGGGAGCAAGCGUUGUUCGGAUUUACUGGGCGUAAAGGGCGCGUAGGCGGCCAGCACAAGUCAGUUGUGAAAUCUCCGAGCUUAACUCGGAAAGGUCAACUGAUACUGUGCGGCUAGAGUGCGGAAGGGGCAACUGGAAUUCUUGGUGUAGCGGUGAAAUGCGUAGAUAUCAGGAGGAACACCGAUGGCGAAGGCAGGUCUCUGGGCCGAUACUGACGCUGAGGAGCGAAAGCGUGGGGAGCGAACAGG
rnacentral:rRNA from 1 species